GAUGAACGCUGGCGGCGUGCCUAAUACAUGCAAGUCGAGCGAACAGACGAGGAGCUUGCUCCUUUGACGUUAGCGGCGGACGGGUGAGUAACACGUGGAUAACCUACCUAUAAGACUGGGAUAACUUCGGGAAACCGGAGCUAAUACCGGAUAACAUGUUGAACCGCAUGGUUCAACAGUGAAAGACGGUUUUGCUGUCACUUAUAGAUGGAUCCGCGCCGCAUUAGCUAGUUGGUAAGGUAACGGCUUACCAAGGCAACGAUGCGUAGCCGACCUGAGAGGGUGAUCGCCCACACUGGAACUGAGACACGGUCCAGACUCCUACGGGAGGCAGCAGUAUGGAAUCUUCCGCAAUGAGCGAAAGCCUGACGGAGCAACGCCGCGUGAGUGAAGAAGGUCUUCGGAUCGUAAAACUCUGUUAUUAGGGAAGAACAAAUGUGUAAGUAACUAUGCACGUCUUGACGGUACCUAAUCAGAAAGCCACGGCUAACUACGUG
rnacentral:rRNA from 1 species